rnacentral:rRNA from 1 species
GAUGAACGCUGGCGGCGUGCCUAAUACAUGCAAGUCGAGCGAAGCGGGGACGGGGGAGUAACACGUGGAUAACCUCCUAUAAGACUGGGAUAACUUCGGGAAACCGGAGCUAAACCGGAAACUUAUCGAUGGAGCCGCGCUGCAUUAGCUAGUGGAUAAGGUAACGGCUUACCAAGGCAACGAUGUGUAGCCGACCUGAGAGUGUGAUCGUCCACACUGGGACUGAGACACGGUCCAGAAUCCGACGGGAGGCAGCAGUGGGGAAUCUUCCGCAAUGGGCGAAAGCCUGACGGAGCAACGCCGCGUGAGUGAUGAAGGUCUUCGGAUCGUAAAACUCUGUUAUUAGGGAAGCGGUACCUAAACAGAAAGCCACGGCUAACUACGUGCCAGCCGCCGCGGUAAUUC